rnacentral:rRNA from 1 species
ACAACCAACUAUCCGCCAAAGAAUUACAAGCAAAAAGCUUAAAACUUAAAGGACUUGACGGUGUCUCAUACGCCCUAGAGGAGCCUGUCCUAUAAUCGAUGGUCCACGUUUCACCUCACCCACCAUUGCAAACCACAGCCUAUAUACCGCCGUCCCCAGUUUGCCUAAUGAUAGAAAAAAAGCAAGCAACAGAGCCUUAACGCUAAUACGACAGGUCAAGGUGUAGCUAAUGGGUGGGCAGAGAUGGGCUACUUUUUCUAGCACUAGAACACUACCAAAGGCACCAUGAAAACCAGGCCCGAGGGCGGAUUUAGCAGUAAGCCAGGCCAGAAAUGCCCGCCUGAAGACAGCUCUGAGACGCGUACACACC